rnacentral:rRNA from 1 species
AGUGAACGCUGGCGGUAGGCCUAACACAUGCAAGUCGAACGGCAGCACAGUAAGAGCUUGCUCUUACGGGUGGCGAGUGGCGGACGGGUGAGGAAUACAUCGGAAUCUACUCUUUCGUGGGGGAUAACGUAGGGAAACUUACGCUAAUACCGCAUACGACCUACGGGUGAAAGCAUGGGAUCUUCGGACCUUGCGCGAUUGAAUGAGCCGAUGUCGGAUUAGCUAGUUGGCGGGGUAAAGGCCCACCAAGGCGACGAUCCGUAGCUGGACUGAGAGGAUGAUCGGCCGCCUUGGAACUGGAACACGGUCCAGACUCCUACGGGAGGCAGCAGUGGGGAAUAUUGGACAAUGGGCGCAAGCCUGAUCCAGCCAUCCCGCGUGGGUGAAGAAGGCCUUCGGGUUGUAAAGCCCUUUUGUUGGGAAAGAAAAGCAGCAGGUUAAUACCCCGCUGUUCUGACGGUACCCAAAGAAUAAGCACCGGCUAACUUCGUG